rnacentral:rRNA from 1 species
CGUGUAGGCGGACAAUCAAGUCAGAUGUGAAAGCCCUGGGCUCAACCCAGGAACUGCAUUUGAAACUGGCUGUCUUGAGUGUUGGAGAGGGAAGCGGAAUUCCUGUGUAGAGGUGAAAUUCGUAGAUAUCAGGAGGAACACCAGCGGCGAAGGCGGCUUCCUGGACAACUACUGACGCUGAGACGCGAAAGCGUGGGGAGCAAACA